UACAGAGGGUGCUAGCGUUGUUCGGAAUCAUUGGGCGUAAAGCGCACGUAGGCGGCUCGUUAAAUCGGAUGUGAAAGCCCCGGGCUCAACUCGGGAAGUGCAUUCGAAACUGGCGAGCUUGAAUAUGGAAGAGGGUCGCGGAAUUCCCGGUGUAGAGGUGAAAUUCGUAGAUAUCGGGAGGAACACCAGUGGCGAAGGCGGCGACCUGGGCCAAUAUUGACGCUGAGGUGCGAAAGCGUGGGGAGCAAACAGG
rnacentral:rRNA from 1 species